rnacentral:ribozyme from 2 species
ACUCGUUAGGGCGAGUAUAAAUAGCCAUUAGGCCCUAAGCGUCAAUGAUAAGCUCAUUGGGUUGGA